ensembl:lncRNA MIR31HG MIR31 host gene
UGGCGGCCCCGGCGGCGGCGGCAGGUGUGGAUGGGGCGAAGGUGCGGGAACGUCCACUCCCGCGCGCCCCUCUCGGGGACCAGGGCGGCCUCCCAGGAGGAGCUUGGUAGAGACAGAUUCUCUGGAAGUACCUUCUCAAGGCCAGUGUAGAGCUCCCAAUCACCCAGCAGAUUCUCCCUCUCCCACUGCCCGCACCAAGCAGGUCUCCAGGUGUUCCAGCUGCUGAUGAAGUCCAGUGUGGAGUUGGUCCAGGAGGGUCGUGUUCCAGGCAGCAGAGGAGCGCUCUGUGUGGAAGAGGCUGAAGAUCUGCUGCAGCAUCUCAUGGAGGACAGACAGGGCCUGGGCCUGCUGCAACUGGCUGUCAUACACAUCUCCAGGGGAAACCUGAAGUCUCUUCUGUCCUUGAGACACAAGAAAGGGGAGAUCCAUUUCAUUUGGCCCAGAAGCACCAACGUCUUCCUUCCUGUCAGACCAUGGUUCUGAGUCAGGUCACAUCCCAGAGAUCAAAAAGAGCCACAGCUGCACACAACUAGGACCACCACUAGAGAGUGAAGAUGGAGUCUCAGUCACCAGGCUGGAGUGCAGUGGCACAAUCUCAGCUCACUGCAACCUUCACCUCCUGGGUUCAAGCAAUUCCCCUGCCUCAGCCUCUCGAGUAGCUGGGACUACAGGUGCUCACCACCAUGCCUGGCUAAUUUUUUUUAUUUUAGUAGAGUCGGGGUUUCACCAUGUUGGCCAGGCUGGUCUCGAUCUCCUGAUCUCAUGAUCCACCUGCCUCGGCCUCCCAAAGUGCUGAGAUUAUAGGUUUGAGCCACCAUGACUGGCCGAAUUUUUGUAACUUCUUUUCACAUAGUGGUUUACUGGGUAAGGUGUAUCUUGCUUCUCCUACAUGAUAUUCUUAUUUAUGAUGAAUUAAAACAAAUAAAGAAAAGUAAAAGAAAGGCAAAGGAACCAUAUUGUUCUUCUCCAUAAUUUUCAAGAUUUCAGAUUUUUUGUCUCUCAUUUCAACUUUCCUAGAAAGCAAACCUCAACAAUUGCUUAUAUAUUAAAAACAAAACAAAUAUAAGCCUGAAUAUCAGGAAGUAAGAGAAGUGACUUUCUGCUGACAAAAUAGCAAAACAUAUGUUAGCAAAAUUCAGUGCAGCAAAAUUAGAGACUAGGGACUCUGUCCCAGGGGAAGGAUGAAUGUCAUUGUUGAGGUACACAAAAGCAAGGGAAACGGCUGCUUCUGCCAGAGCCUCACAGAAGAGCAACUCCUGGGUCAAUGGAUUGUCCUCAGCUUUGCAAGACCAGCCACCUGCUCUUCUUUCAUUGAAUGCAGAUGUUAUCACCUCUGAGGUAAGAAAGGAGGAGUCACACCAACCAACUCACAGUAGACUGGCAACAAGACCCCAGUUGCUAGAACACUAGUCCUCUCUGGCAUGAUAAUGAAUAUUAGCCUUGCCUUAGCACCGUACCUAGUUAAAAAAUCCACCCAGGAAAUGAAAAGAUGGCAUUUAGAAACCUGCAAAGAAACAGAAUUUGAUUUCCCAAAAGAUUCUGCUCCUAGUUGUGUUAUAACAAUGGUGAUUUUUUUAAAAGAUAACACCAAAAUUAUUGCAUUAUA